GUAAUGUAAUUGCAGAUUUUCAGUGAAUCAUCGAAUCUUUGAACGCACCUUGCGCCCCUUGGUAUUCCGAGGGGCAUGCCUGUUUGAGUGUCAUU
rnacentral:rRNA from 1 species